CCCACAACUGCUACCUGAA
rnacentral:misc_RNA from 1 species